rnacentral:rRNA from 1 species
ACAGAAGUAACAAAGGGCACACGGGGGAUGCCUAGGCUCUCAGAGGCGACGAAGGACGCGAUAAGCUGCGAUAAGCGUGGGGGAGGAGCACAUAUCCUGUGAUCCCACGAUGUCCGAAUGGGGCAACCCACUAGCAUGCAGUGCUAGGGCCUAUACUUUUAGUAGUAUAGGGGCAAACGCGGGGAACUG